UACGUAGGUGGCAAGCGUUGUCCGGAAUUACUGGGUGUAAAGGGCGUGUAGGCGGUUUUGCAAGUCAGAUGUGAAAUCUCCGGGCUUAACCCGGAAACUGCAUCUGAAACUGCAGAACUUGAAUACUGGAGAGGAUAGUGGAAUUCCUAGUGUAGCGGUAAAAUGCGUAGAUAUUAGGAGGAACACCAGUGGCGAAGGCGACCAUCUGGACAGUAACUGACGCUGAGGCGCGAAAGCGUGGGGAGCAAACAGGAUUAGAUACCCCCGUAGUCCCU
rnacentral:rRNA from 1 species